AUUGAACGCUAGCGGGAUGCUUUACACAUGCAAGUCGAACGGCAGCGCGGACUUCGGUCUGGCGGCGAGUGGCGAACGGGUGAGUAAUGUAUCGGAACGUGCCCAGUAGCGGGGGAUAACUACGCGAAAGCGUAGCUAAUACCGCAUACGCCCUACGGGGGAAAGCAGGGGAUCGUAAGACCUUGCACUAUUGGAGCGGCCGAUAUCGGAUUAGCUAGUUGGUGAGGUAACGGCUCACCAAGGCGACGAUCCGUAGCUGGUUUGAGAGGACGACCAGCCACACUGGGACUGAGACACGGCCCAGACUCCUACGGGAGGCAGCAGUGGGGAAUUUUGGACAAUGGGGGCAACCCUGAUCCAGCCAUCCCGCGUGUGCGAUGAAGGCCUUCGGGUUGUAAAGCACUUUUGGCAGGAAAGAAACGUCGCGGGCUAAUACCCCGUGGAACUGACGGUACCUGCAGAAUAAGCACCGGCUAACUACGUGC
rnacentral:rRNA from 1 species